UACAGAGGGUGCGAGCGUUAAUCGGAAUUACUGGGCGUAAAGCGCGCGUAGGCGGCUUUGCAAGUCGGGUGUGAAAUCCCCAGGCUUAACCUGGGAACUGCAUUCGAGACUGCAUUGCUAGAGUAUGGGAGAGGGAAGUGGAAUUUCUGGUGUAGCGGUGAAAUGCGUAGAUAUCGGAAGGAACAUCAGUGGCGAAAGCGACUUCCUGGACCAAUACUGACGCUCAUGUGCGAAAGCGUGGGGAGCAAACAGG
rnacentral:rRNA from 1 species